rnacentral:rRNA from 1 species
UACGUAGGGGGCGAGCGUUGUCCGGAAUUAUUGGGCGUAAAGGGCGCGCAGGCGGUCUCUUAAGUCUGAUGUGAAAUCUCGUGGCUUAACCACGAGUGGUCAUUGGAAACUGAGGGACUUGAGGACAGAAGAGGAGAGUGGAAUUCCACGUGUAGUGGUGAAAUACGUAGAUAUGUGGAGGAACACCAGUGGCGAAGGCGACUCUCUGGUCUGUCUCUGACGCUGAGGCGCGAAAGCGUGGGUAGCAAACAGG